rnacentral:rRNA from 1 species
UACGUAGGGUGCAAGCGUUGUCCGGAAUUAUUGGGCGUAAAGAGCUCGUAGGCGGUCUGUCGCGUCGGAUGUGAAAAUCCAGGGCUCAACCCUGGACCUGCAUUCGAUACGGGCAGACUAGAGUUCGGCAGGGGAGACUGGAAUUCCUGGUGUAGCGGUGAAAUGCGCAGAUAUCUGGAGGAAUACCGGUGGCGAAGGCGGCCCCCUGGACAAAGACUGACGCUCAGGUGCGAAAGCGUGGGGAGCAAACAGG